rnacentral:tRNA from 1 species
GAGGGAGGUGUCGUACAAUAAGAACUGCUAAUUCCUAUGUCUGAGAUUAAUUCCUCAGCUCCCUCA